rnacentral:rRNA from 1 species
AUGGCGCCGCUCGCACCCGGGAGGCCACCAGCCUGCCUCCUAACCCUUCUCUCCGUCGUCGCGGCCCUAUCCCUGGCCGCGCCGGGCCUGGCGGCGGGGAAGACCGGCCAGGUGACGGUGUUCUGGGGACGGAACAAGGCCGAGGGGUCCCUGCGCGAGGCCUGCGACUCCGGCAUGUACACCAUGGUCACCAUCUCUUUCCUCGACGUCUUCGGCGCCAACGGAAAGUACCACCUUGACCUCUCCGGCCACGACCUCUCCGCCGUCGGCGCCGACAUCAAGCACUGCCAGUCCAAGGGCGUCCCCGUCUCCCUCUCCAUCGGCGGCUACGGCGCCCGCUACUCGCUCCCGUCCAACCGCUCCGCGCUCGACCUCUUCGACCACCUCUGGGACUCCUACUUCGGCGGGUCCAAGCCGGGCGUGCCCCGCCCCUUGGGCGACGCGUGGCUCGACGGCGUCGACCUCUUCCUGGAGCACGGCACGCCGGCGGACCGCUACGACGUGCUGGCGCUGGAGCUGGCGAAGCACAACAUCCGCGGCGGCCCGGGGAAGCCGCUGCACCUGACGGCGACGGUCCGGUGCGGGUACCCGCCGGCGGCGCACGUGGGGCGAGCGCUGGCGACGGGGAUCUUCGAGCGCGUCCACGUGAGGAUCUACGAGGAGAGCGACAAGGCGUGCAACCAGUACGGGGCGUGGGAGGAGGCGUGGGACAGGUGGACGGCGGCGUACCCGGCCACCCGGUUCUUCAUCGGGCUCACGGCGGACGACAAGUCGUACCAGUGGAUACACCCCAAGAACGUCUACUACGGCAUCACGCCGGUGGUGCAGAAGAAGGAGAACUAUGGCGGGGUCAUGCUCUGGGACCGAUACUUCGACAAGCAGAGCGACUACAGUAGCUACAUCAAGUACUACGCCUGA